UGGGGCGUAGCCAAGCGGUAAGGCAUCGGGUUUUGAUCUCGACAUGCGCAGGUUCGAAUCCUGCCGCCCCAGCCA
rnacentral:tRNA from 2 species